GACGUAGGGCGCAAGCGUUGUCCGGAUUUAUUGGGCGUAAAGAGCUCGUAGGCGGCUUGCCACGUCUGCCGUGAAAACCAGCAGCUUAACUGUUGGCUUGCGGUUGAUACGGGUUGGCUGGAGUUCGGUAGGGGAGACUGGAAUUCCUGGUGUAGCGGUGAAAUGCGCAGAUAUCAGGAGGAACACCGAUGGCGAAGGCAGCUCGCUGGGACGGUAAUGACGCUGAGACGCGAAGGAGUGGGGAGCAAACAGG
rnacentral:rRNA from 1 species